rnacentral:rRNA from 1 species
AGAGUUUGAUUAUGGCUCAGGAUGAACGCUGGCGGCGUGCUUAACACAUGCAAGUCGAACGGUAAGGUCCCCUUCGGGGGACACACGAGUGGCGAACGGGUGAGUAACACGUGGGCAACCUGCCCCUCACAUCGGGAUAACCACCGGAAACGGUGGCUAAUACCGGAUACUCCGGCGAGAUCGCAUGGUCUUGCCGGGAAAGCUCCGGCGGUGAGGGAUGGGCCCGCGGCCCAUUAGCUUGUUGGUGGGGUAAUGGCCUACCAAGGCGACGAUGGGUAGCCGAGCUGAGAGGCUGAUCGGCCACACUGGGACUGAGACACGGCCCAGACUCCUACGGGAGGCAGCAGUGGGGAAUCUUGCGCAAUGGGCGAAAGCCUGACGCAGCAACGCCGCGUGCGGGAUGAAGGCCUUCGGGUUGUAAACCGCUUUCAGCAGGGAUGAAACUGACAGUACCUGCAGAAGAAGCCCCGGCUAACUACGUGCCAGCAGCCGCGGUAAUACGUAGGGGGCGAGCGUUAUCCGGAUUCAUUGGGCGUAAAGCGCGCGUAGGCGGCCUGCUAAGUCAGAUGUGAAAACCGGGGGCUCAACCCGCGGCCUGCAUCUGAAACUGGCAGGCUUGAGUCUGGUAGAGGAAAGUGGAAUUCCUGGUGUAGCGGUGAUAUGCGCAGAUAUCAGGAGGAACACCAGUGGCGAAGGCGGCUUUCUGGGCCACGACUGACGCUGAGGCGCGAAAGCUAGGGGAGCAAACAGGAUUAGAUACCCUGGUAGUC